rnacentral:rRNA from 1 species
GACGUAGGGCGCGAGCGUUGUCCGGAUUUAUUGGGCGUAAAGAGCUCGUAGGCGGCUUGUCGCGUCGUCCGUGAAAACCUGGGGCUCAACCCCAGGGCUUGCGGUCGAUACGGGCAGGCUGGAGUUCGGUAGGGGAGACUGGAAUUCCUGGUGUAGCGGUGAAAUGCGCAGAUAUCAGGAGGAACACCGGUGGCGAAGGCGGGUCUCUGGGCCGAUACUGACGCUGAGGAGCGAAAAGCGUGGGGGAGCGAACAGG